UACGUAGGGGGCAAGCGUUGUUCGGAAUUACUGGGCGGAAAGGGCGCGUAGGCGGCACGGCAAGUCGGGAGUGAAAGGCCUGGGCUCAACCGAGGAACUGCUUUCGAGACUGCCGAGCUAGAGUGCGGAAGGGGCAACUGGAAUUCCCAGUGUAGCGGUGAAAUGCGUAGAUAUUGGGAAGAACACCUGAGGCGAAGGCGGGUUGCUGGGCCGACACUGACGCUGAGGCGCGAAAGCCAGGGGAGCAAACGGG
rnacentral:rRNA from 1 species